GUUUGACACGCCCAUAAAAUGAAACCUUUAACGAAUUUAGUCAAUGGAACUACAAAUGUCCGAAGUGUUACCACAAAACGCCCAGUGUUGACCGCGGCUGGUACAGCUGAAUGUGUAGUGUUCAGUGCGUCUCAGCUAGCUGCAUUGUGCACCAGGGCAAUAAGGCCUGCACUGCUGGUGCAACAACAAAUUACUACAGUCAAGUUUGUCGGAACACACUGCACAGGUCAUGUUAUCCUGCAGUGACAAGGUCACCGUGACCUCACGUGCAACAGGCUGGUCCGUCAAAACAUGGGUGUCUCCGCCUCAACGUCCUGACAGGAACAAGACGUGGGAAAUGCGUGACUGUUUCUCUCGAUUGGUUUCAAUUGUUUUGGAGAGUUUUAUUUGCUGGUUGUUCAGCAUGUUUGUGUAUUAAAGAAAUAUUAUGGAAAUGUGGGCGGAGAAAUGUGUGCGGAGGAAUACACUGUGUUUGUUGACAUCACGUGACGAACCGGCAAACUAGGACACACGCCUCCUUGAUAUAUAAUAUCAAAAUAUCUCUACUUUAAUGUUCUCAUUAUGUAAUCUUUGCUGCAUCUGUAUACACUUUUAAAUGACCAAAACAAAACCAAUCCUAUGCAGAAUCUCUAGACGAUAACAUAGUAAAAUUGGUAGAACGUUUUCAUAUUUGCGAAAUUUACUUCCGCAUUCCACAUGAAACGUGCAAAACAUUAUAACAAACCAUGGGCAUCCAUGAUUACACCAAUGAAUUUGUACUUUAACUAAGAAAGUGUCAUCCCAAAUAUUACAUAUGUUAUAUGGGCAUGCAAUGAAUUUGAUUUGUGAAAUAAAGUAUCAUCAUUU